rnacentral:rRNA from 1 species
AUGCAAGUCGAGCGAACGGACGAGAAGCUUGCUUCUCUGAUGUUAGCGGCGGACGGGUGAGUAACACGUGGAUAACCUACCUAUAAGACUGGGAUAACUUCGGGAAACCGUAGCUAAUACCGGAUAAUAUUUUGAACCGCAUGGUUCAAAAGUGAAAGACGGUCUUGCUGUCACUUAUAGAUGGAUCCGCGCUGCAUUAGCUAGUUGGUAAGGUAACGGCU